GAAAGCGAUGGCAGCUCACAGAGAAUUGGGCAUCCCGUCCGCUCUGCCAUACACAAGCUUGAGAUCGGUGGAUUAGUAGUUGGGUGGGUGACCACCAGCGAAUACCCACUGUUGUAUGUU
rfam:Pseudogymnoascus pannorum VKM F-4515 (FW-2607) contig_453, whole genome shotgun sequence.